CUGCCUGGGGCAGAGAUCUUAAACUCUAACUACUGUGAGCUGCCUGAAUUGCCAGAACCAUCUGUUGAAUUAUUUAGUCAUGCCACAUAGAAGCAGUCUCCAGCUGCGACCCACAGACAUGCGUGAAAAAGCCA
rnacentral:lncRNA from 1 species